GAUGAACGCUGGCGGCGUGCCUAAUACAUGCAAGUCGAGCGAACAGACGAGGAGCUUGCUCCUCUGACGUUAGCGGCGGACGGGUGAGUAAAACGUGGAUAACCUACCUAUAAGACUGGGAUAACUUCGGGAAACCGGAGCUAAUACCGGAUAAUAUAUUGAACCGCAUGGUUCAAUAGUGAAAGACGGUUUUGCUGUCACUUAUAGAUGGAUCCGCGCCGCAUUAGCUAGUUGGUAAGGUAACGGCUUACCAAGGCAACGAUGCGUAGCCGACCGGAGAGGGUGAUCGGCCACACUGGAACUGAGACACGGUCCAGACUCCUACGGGAGGCAGCAGUAGGGAAUCUUCCGCAAUGGGCGAAAGCCUGACGGAGCAACGCCGCGUGAGUGAUGAAGGUCUUCGGAUCGUAAAACUCUGUUAUUAGGGAAGAACAAAUGUGUAAGUAACUAUGCACGUCUUGACGGUACCUAAUCAGAAAGCCACGGCUAACUACGUG
rnacentral:rRNA from 1 species